rnacentral:lncRNA from 1 species
UUCACAAACCACCCAACUAAAAUUUCUCAUCUCUUUCCCUCUUUGUUGCUUACGGCCGAGAGCCAAGUCACAACCACCCACCCACUUUCAAAUUCCAUCUUAAUAAAGCACAUACACUCAAGUGUGUAAGGUCGCAUACGAGAAGACCCGGUGCUUACGGAAUCGCGAGGACCUCACCACGACGCUAUUAACCACCCGUUUUUCGUCUAGUUUCUUCCCUAGCCUCGAGCUAGUAGUAAGUGUUCUAAAACAUCCUAUUGAUCUUGUAUAAAGUGGUUAAUAAGAGAUUUGUCGGAUAAAAAUUAUGAACACUAGAGACCAAAACUAAAAGUCUACUAAAAAUAAUAAACUUGGUGGUUAAUGAAUGAAUGUUAGUGUAAAACUUAUGGAACUUGUUUUGUGAUGAUUAUUUUGUGUUGUUUAAUGCUAGUAGUAGUUCGGAUCGUCAUCUAACCCGGCUAGGUUAUGUUCAUAAAACAUGACCUAGAGUAUGUUAAAGUGUGAAAGUGGUUAGAUGAAGAACACUACUACAUGAUCUAAAGAUCUACAAGUGGUAUUUUCGGAAAACCAAAUGUAAGACGAAACCAUGUUUUAAAACUGGAUCUUUCAUGAACUAGAGGUGUUUUUGUGAACAAACAAGUGUGUGGACACUUGUGUAACAAAAGUUUUAACAAAGAAAUAAUUUUCGUAAAAACCGACUAGAAGCUGUGAAACUUCAUAUUCUUUAAAAAUAAAGUUUUUAAGAAAUUAAACUUAUUUUUAAAGAUAACAAGACUUACUAAAUGUGCUAGUAAGUUACUACACAUUUUUGUAAAUAUUCAAGAUCAUGAAAUGGAGAAAUUAGUGAUUGUUGUUGAUAAUUGUUGUUAAUGAUUGUUGAUGAUUUAAAAGAAAAUAAACACAUGUUUUGAAAACAUGGGAAACCUCCAUUUUUAGGGGAAACUCUGUCAAAAUUUUUAUAAAUUUUGACACUUAGAAAAAUAUAAGUUUUUGAGAAACUUAUUCCCUAAAAAUACAUCUAAAAAUAUUACCAAGGUUUCCCUAAUUUUUGGUGAUAAGAAAUGAGGAUUUCUUCAAAGAAUAAAAUGGAUACUAAGUAUGUAUAUUUUUGAGGAAAAUAUAUAUAUUAUUUGGUCACCAAGUUUUGUGCUAAAUGUAUAUAGUAUGUGUUAUACGUAUUAGUGUAUUAAGACUUAAAAAUACACAAGAUACUCAUGAGAAGAAUAAAACACAAAAAUACACUUACAAUAUACAAGACACAUAAUUCGGGUGCAAAGUGCAAAACACGAGAUACUUAUAUUAAUUUGUGAGAAAACAAUAUAAGUAAGAUACCUAGUUAAAAAUAUAAAAUAUUUUUAACACAACAAUACGAAUACAAAGGAGAGUGACUGUACCUGUGCGACGCAAGUCUAGUAACUAACGUUAAGAAAACGCGUAUAGGUCACGACGUUAAUUAAGCAAACCCGGUGAAGUUUACGACGCACAGGAACGCAAAGUUGUGAGUUCAUGCUCCCCCUUUUCUCUUAACUGUUUUCAGUUUUAUAACUUCGGGGGUGAAAUACAUGUUACAAAUAUUUUUAUGUUUUGGUAUGAUAACAAGAAGCACACUUGGUGAGAACGAGUACCAAGUGUGUUGUGAUAUAAGAAUACAGGAAACACACUUGGUGAGAACGAGUACCAAGUGUGAUGUGAUAUAAGAAUACGAGAAGCGCACUUGGUGAGAACGAGAACCAAGUAGGAUGCGUUAUGAGAAAUGAUACGAUAAAUCGUGUCACGAAUAGGGUACAUAAGCACCAUUAAUCAACAAUAUACCUAGACCGCAGAACAAAAGGUUAGAUCUAACGGGUGCCGGGCAGCCACACUCUCGGUGAGGGCGAGAAUCGAGUAGUGCUUUUGUGUCUCAGAAUAUACCAAUUAAAUGCCUAAGGUUUGGUGACUUCCUAUGUCGUAUCACAUGUUAAUGGCUUUGCAACCCAUUAACUAUCCUGAUAUUUACAGGAAUACUUUAUUUACAUAAAAUUCAUACCAUACUAAAACCUGAUUAAUACUUGAAGUACGUGGGGUACUCAAGAAAACGGGAAUUAUACUUGAGUACGUGGGGUACUCACGAAAAACUUGAGAUAUACAUGAGUACGUGGUGUACACAUGAAUACAUGAUUUACAUUUGAAAACUUUAUUUAUACAUAAUACAAACUAUGUUUUCAUAUAAAGUAUACAAACAUGAAAUACAAAAACUGCAUGAAUUCACACCAACAUUAUGUUGACGUUUUUUUUUCCAAAACUCACAUGUAUUUCAGGUAACUAGGAUGGAUGUGCGCGUGGUCUUACUUAUGCUCGUGGAUGUCGCUUUGUUUAUCGUUAAAUAAAGUUGUAACCUUUAAGACAAUAUGCUAUCAUGUGUUGUAAACACUUGACUUAUGUUUUUGGUAAUGUAAUGUUUGAAGUUAUUU